rnacentral:rRNA from 1 species
GACGAACGCUGGCGGCGUGCUUAACACACGCAAGUCGAACGGAAAGGCCCUGCUUUUGUGGGGUGCUCGAGUGGCGAACGGGUGAGUAACACGUGUGUAACCUGCCCUUGACUUUGGGAUAACUUCAGGAAACUGGGGCUAAUACCGGAUAGGAGCUCCUGCUGCAUGGUGGGGGUUGGAAAGUUUCGGCGGUUGGGGAUGGACUCGCGGCUUAUCAGCUUGUUGGUGGGGUAGUGGCUUACCAAGGCUUUGACGGGUAGCCGGCCUGAGAGGGUGACCGGCCACAUUGGGACUGAGAGACGGCGCAGACUCCUACGGGAGGCAGCAGUGGGGAAUAUUGCACAAUGGGCGGAAGCCUGAUGCAGCAACGCCGCGUGCGGGAUGACGGCCUUCGGGUUGUAAACCGCUUUCGCCUGUGACGAAGCGUGAGUGACGGUAAUGGGUAAAGAAGCACCGGCUAACUACGUG